UGCUCCUCCCUCUAUUGAACGAGAUACUAACUUGAUCGUCAGAGAGCCCCUGCCAGAGCCAUCUCCAGUCGAUGCUUUUUCUUGCAGGUUUCCCCCUAGGACGUAUUGAUCUCAACCAUCUCCACCUUCUCUAGUGCCAGUCGAUAUCUCACACCAAUAGAUGUGGCGCUAGAGGAAGGGUGGCAUAAUUUUUUGCCCCAAUUUAGAGGAGUGCAGAUCGAAGCAGGGUG
rnacentral:lncRNA from 1 species